AACGCAUAUUGCGCUCUCUGGUAUUCCGGAGAGCAUGCUUGUUUGAGUAUCAGUAAACACCUCAACUUCCAUAUCUUUUUUGAAAUGGGAGUUGGACUUGAGUGAUCCCAACGCUUUUCCUCACCGAAAAGUGGCGGGUUACUUGAAAUGCAGGUGCAGCUGGACUUUUCUCUGAGCUAUAAGCAUAUCUAUUUAGUCUGCCUAAAAAACAGAUUAUUACCUUUGCUGCAGCUAACAUAAAGGAGAUUAGUUCUUGUGCUGACUGAUGCAGGAUUCACAAAGACGGCUUCGGCCGACUUUGUAAACUCGAUCUCAAAUCAAGUAAGACUACCCGCUGAACUUAA
rnacentral:misc_RNA from 1 species